UACGUAGGGUGCAAGCGUUGUCCGGAAUUAUUGGGCGUAAAGAGCUCGUAGGCGGUCUGUCGCGUCGGCUGUGAAAACCCGAGGCUCAACCUCGGGCCUGCAGUCGAUACGGGCAAACUAGAGUACUGCAGGGGAGACUGGAAUUCCUGGUGUAGCGGUGAAAUGCGUAGAUAUCAGGAGGAAUACCGGUGGCGAAAGCGACUCUCUGGACGGCAACUGACGCUGAGGCACGAAAGCGUGGGGAGCAAACAGG
rnacentral:rRNA from 1 species